GGAGCGGUGGUUCAGUCGGUUAGAAUACCGGCCUGUCACGCCGGGGGUCGCGGGUUCGAGUCCCGUCCGCUCCGCCA
rnacentral:tRNA from 1 species